AGCUCUGUAAGCGUAUACCAAAGUUGUUGCAGUUAAAACGCUCGUAGUCGGAUUUUGGGGCAGCCCGUGCUGUGCGCGUAGUGCGUGCGGCGCUGGGAUGUUCUUUUGUGGAGGGCGGCACGUAGUGGCUUCACUGUCGCUGCGUGUCGGCGCCACCGUUUACUGUGAAAAAAUUAGAGUGUUCAAAGCAGGCGUUUGCCGUGAAUACAUUAGCAUGGAAUAAUAGAAUAGGACUUGGUUUCUAUUUUGUUGGUUUGUGAGAGCCGAGUAAUGAUUAAGAGGGACGGUUGGGGGCAUUUGUAUUCCAGCGUCAGAGGUGAAAUUCUUGGAUUGCUGGAAGACAAACCGCUGCGAAAGCGUCUGCCAAGGACGUUUUCAUUGAUCAAGAACGAAAGUACGC
rnacentral:rRNA from 1 species